AUGGGUCAAUAUCCUUAUUUGGCUUUGCAGAACAGAAUGAACAUAUGCUGCAUUGCCUUUCUUAGUGUACUGUUUGGACAUAAACACAAACACCUUGCGUGCAAGAAAAGUAGAAAAAUCAGCAAGCUACAAUCAGACCAGUGGAUCUGUAUUUCAUAUCAUCCUCAGCAAGAAGAAUCACUUGCACAACAUUCUCAUGCAACAAAAUCUCAAAGGAACAGAAGAAUCACCAACCUCACCUGUGGUCAACGGCACUAUGGUCAGCUGGCCGUAGAUGGAUGUCCAGCUCCUAUGAGCCUUUAA
rnacentral:rRNA from 1 species